ensembl:lncRNA
AUUAUGUCGGCGGCCUUGCUGCGGCGGGGCUUGGAGCUUUUGGGGGUUCCCGAAGCCCCCGAGGCCGCGCCAGGCCAGACUAAGCCUAGCCAGGCUCCAAAGAAACGGACCCGGAAGGCAAAGGCGACCCAGGCCCAGAAACUGCGGAACUCGGCCAAGGGAAAGGUUCCCAAGUCGGCACUGGGUGAGUUUGGGAGUGGACGGGACGGGACGUGCUGCUCCUGGGAUAGGGGCCUGUGCCCUGGAGGAGGGGGCACUUGAGUCAGGGCUUGAAAGGUUCCCCAGACAUUUCUAGAACACCUGUGCGACGGGCGCAGGACGGGGCCGUAGGAACGCGGAGGUGAACACAUCACCGUCUCAGCCCUCAAACGGGGAGAGAAGCAUCAUAGAGUUUCAAAAUCAGCAUAUAGUUGCGGUGAUGAAGUCUGUGCAGUAAGACUUUCGUGCUUUGAGAAGGACUUCAGGGCCAAAUCAGGCUUUUCUAAGAAAGCAACAUUUAAGCCCAGACCUGAAGUAUAAGAGUGAGCUAGGGGAGGAGUAAUCCAGGAGAAUGGCAUCUACAAAGUCCGAAAGAAAUUCGUUGCCUUUGAAAAUUUAAAAGAAACCUGGUUAAAGGCAACGUACAGUGAACGAGGGUCAGAGACGGAGCAUUUAAUAAAAAUUAAAACUCCUUGCGCCCGGUGCUUUUCUAAGUCUUGUACAAAUAUUCACUGAUUUCAUCUCUCACAGCAACCCUGUGCCGUCGGUACUGUUAUUACCCCAUAUACAGGUGCAGAAACAGGCACCUGCCCAGAUGGUACAGGUAGAAACCAGGCAGUGUGUUUCCAGAGCCCUGCUCUCACCUACGUCAUUCAACUAGGAGGUGCUGUGGCCUGGGUGGUGGUGGUGGUGCAGAGAUAACAGAAUUGUGCAGGUGGCUGAUGCAGUGAAGAGGGAGCCUUGAUGGCCUCAGUGAACUGGCUGUGAGGAUGGAGGGGGAAGGAGAUCCAGCGGGAAUGGAGCCCUGUUUCUAGGAGAGCAUCUUGGGCAAUGUGGUGCCACUGUACAGACUUAAGAGGGGCAGGUGUGGACUGGAUGGUAGGGUGUUUUGACUUGUGGCAGGAUUUCAUCAGCUCCUAGGGUAUCUUUGAAUCCCCAGGGCACAUAGAAGGUGUUCAGGUAUUUGUUACAAAGAACUAUGGGUUCUAAGGAGGAAACACAACAUGAGCCAAAGUGGAGGCAAGGAAGUGAGACCCGUCUGAGCAACAGCGAUGCUGGCUGCUGGCGUGGAGCAGGAGCACGUGGUGUGCCGGGUCACUUCUCCAUCCCAGCCAUCGUCGUCCCACCGCCCUGUCAUGGCACCGAAGCGAUGUGUGAGGGGACUCCCGGCCUCAGUGGCUGCCACCUUGGUCUGAGCUGCAGUGUUUAUUGCCUGGAUUGUGGAAAAACCUCCUACCCAGGCCCCUGCCUUCCACCCCCACCCCCAGUAAUCUUGUCUCACCACAGUGCCAAAGCACUCCUGGAAAAUCCUCGGGCAGACCUGUCUCUUCUCUGCCCCACACCCUCCAGGGGCUCCCGUCCGCCUCGGUGAGAGCCUGAGUUCUCACAGUGCCUGCUGAGGCCCCACGGCUCUGUCCGCUCCAGGUUCGAAUCCUAGGGCUCUCCCCUCCCCACCCCCGCCAUUUUCUGUUCUUCCAGCACGUUCGUCACACUUCUGCUUCAGAGGUUUUGCCCAGGCUGUUCCCUCUACCCAGAAUGCUCUUCCCCCACAGUGUCACGCUCUCCCUCCAGUCCUUGGGCGGAUUUCGUCGUCUCAGUGAGGCCUUCUUGUACCUUCCUGUUGGGAACUGCCGCCCUCCCCCCGGCACCCCUCAACCCCUCACUGCCGUUUGCUGUUGUGUUUUUCUCCGUGAAACGAUCACCCUUAAAAAAUCGUUUGCCUUGUUUACCAUCUCUCUUCCCACAGAAUGUCAGUUCCACGAGGGCAGAAGUUUUUGUCUGUUCUGUUUCCUGCUCUUGCACCUAGAACAGUGCCUGACACAGAGAGGGCCCAGGGCAUGUGUGCUGAAUAAGUCACUUGAGCAGCUGGCACCACGGGGGUUUGGGCAGGAUCUGUGUGGAGUGUGCUUUUGACGGAGGAGGCCGGGCUGUCACAGUGACCUAGAAGAGAGACGAUGGGGCCUUUGGUGGGGCUGUGGGCGUAAGGGGUAAGCUGGGAGAUGUCAGGAGGGGACAAGAAGCCUCCCAAGGAGUGAAUCUGAAUUGAUGCCACCCUGCCCACCAUUCACAGCCGAGUUCCAGAAGCGAGAGCACCAAGGUUACCUUGGAGUGAACCUGAGGUUUAUGACCAGCGCAAGAAGCACAGUGUCUGAAUCCGUCACCAGGCAGGUUGGUCAGAGCGAAGGAAGCUGGGGGUGAGCUGAGGCUGUUCCUGGAAUCUGCGGGCAUCUCAGCCCUGCCCACCUUGGCCCUAAGCACGGGUGGAGGUUGGGCCACCCUCCAGGCUCCUAAGAGCUGGAGACACUUGUGUUGGGGUGAGCCUCGCCCCAAGGGCCGGGAGCAGAGUGGGGGAAGGGGGAGGCUGGGCCUGGCCUUACUCCCUGCGACUCCUUGGGCUGUGGCUGGCCCCUCUAAGUGGAAGCAGUGUGCCCUGCCUCCCGGGGCGGUGGAAGGGCAGCCCUUAGUCAGCUGUGCCAGGUCAUGUGGCUCCGAGUGGCUGGGAGUCCCUCUCGUGCCAGAGUCAUCAGUCGGGGCUCCUGACUCCCACACGCCCGCAGAUUGUGCGUCAGAACCGGGGCCGCAAGGCCUGUGACCGGCCUGUAACCAAGAAGAAGAAGAAGAAAAAGGCCGAGGGCACGGUGUUCACCGAGGAAGACUUCCAGAAGUUCCAGCAGGAGUAUUUCGGCAGCUAGGCUCCCAGAGGGCCCGCCUUUCUCCCCUCACCACAGCCUCUGCGGCUCAGGGCCUGCAGGGGAGGCGGGAGCGGCAGGGCUGGAGCUGGCCUGGACCUGUGCCCACAUCCCAACAUUGCUCCGGAGGGUCACCUCCUUGCUGGGAAGGAACAUUCCUGACUGUUCUGUUUGCUUUGGCCCAAGGAGGGCCUCUGGGCUGUUUGCCGUGGAGGGCCCAUCCCUGGGCCCCCAGGGACCACACCUCUGCCAGGAGGCGGGCUAGAUGGGCUUCCGGCUUCUAAUAAAUGUGGCCCAGCGGCUGUGAGCGCUGCCCUGACCUACAGGGUGUCUCCUGCGCCCCUGGUGCCAAGGAGCCUUCNNNNNNNNNNNNNNNNNNNNNNNNNNNCCACCCCACCCCACCCCUGCCACCCAGAUCGGUUCCGAGAGUCCAGGUCCGAAGUCCUCCAGCCCCGUGCAGGCACCACCUCCCCUCAGGCCACCUCCCAUGGGGGUGGCAGCCACAGCUGAGAUGGUAGCUCUUGAGGCAAAAAUAGCGCCCACAGCUGCCAGAGGCUUUGUGCCAGGGAUGUGGACGCCAGCGUCCAGGCGGGGAGUAGCGUGCCCUCUAAGCACCAGGAGUGGGGGCAGAGGGGUCAAGGGCCUCUUGUUUCCCCUCUUAGCUCAGUCACGUGAGGUGGGGCUCGUGGGGCGACUCAGAAGGCGACCUCUAGAAAUGGGGUUUCACAGCGGGUGUGUGCUGAGCAGAAAGGUGGUGCUGGGCCCGGAGCUGCACCACGAAAAGGCAGAGGCUGGACUGUCCGGCAGGUGUGCGGGACAGACACACCAGGGAGUGGCUAGGUGCUGCUGCCCAAUUGGACUCGAGUGUGGCAUUGACCACAGGGCCGGGAAGCCCAGGAGUCCCUCCUGUGGAGGGCUUGGGGCCUCGUGGAGACAAGGCCCUGGGUGCCUUGGGGCAGCUCCAUCCCCCACCCCGCACCUUAGAGGGCUCAGGAUGUUUUCUGGUAAAGGACUUCGGAAGGGCCCCUGUGGCUGGGGAGCGACCUGCCACGAGUUCUUUUGGGCCAGAGGAGAGAUCUCGGGGUGCCCUCCUUUCCAUCCUAAGUGGGGACAGGAGGGUUCCCUGAGGCAGAGGUGGAGCAGGGCCUGUCUGCAGGUGUCGGAGUAGGUCGCAGACCGGGAGGUCAGGUGGGCAGAAGGGCUUGUUCCAGGCCGGGGAAGGCCAAGGUUUCCCGGGCCCUCCAUGCCCUCCCCUGCUGAGCUGCAAUGACCCCAGUGGGGAGAGACACUCAGGUGUCCUUGGAGACAUGUUCCCAUCCCCUUUUAAUUAGCUUAGCAAGCUGCAGGCUCAGAGGCUCGCUCUCUCGCUCCCUGGGAGUUUGCUUCAGAGACUGGGCUGACCAGGGCCCUUCUGUGGCUGUUACAACAAUCACGAUCAGGUUCCUGUCCCCUCCCCAGGCCUAGAGGGAGGGGCCUGCCUCCUGGGGGAGGGGGAGAGCAGGGCUUCUGCUCCUCUGCUUGUGAGUGUCCAGUAAGUCUUAUGUCCCAUUUGUGCCAGGGACACUGCUUGGGUGUGUGUUCGUGCCCCCUUCUCGUGCAUAGUGUUAGCGCUCGCCCAAGAGUCUGGUCCUGUAGGUCGGGUGGGACUUGAACCCUGGACAGUAGGGUGCAGGUGGUCGGGAGGCGGGUGCUGGCACUGUCCGGCAGGGACUGCUGACCCUGAGCUCCAGGACCUGGGGACGGACAGGUCUGCUGGGAAAGGAAGGGACAGGAACCAGGCAAGAGGCCACUCCGUUGCCACAUUGAGGCCAGGGCUAAAAGAGCCUGCUGGGCUACACCCCACAGGCCUGCAAGCCCUGUACCUGCCCAGCCUCGAAACCCAAGACAGAGCCAGAGGCAGUGACAGAGACACAAAGGGUCCUGGGGUGACAGCCCACCACGCGUGGCAACCAGUGAGCCGGGGCGGGGCAGCACUCCUCACCACUGUUACAGGAGUGGUUGCAUCAGGGGGGCUCCACAGUUACCAGGGGCUAGUUAAGCCUUGUAAUUAAGAGGACUGGAUGGUCUCGUGCGUGGAGCAGGAGGUGUACACAGAGCAGGAAAACAGCGGUCUUUCACCCCCGCGGCAUAUGGAGGUUCCCAGCCUAGGGGGUGAAUCGGAGCUACGGCUGCUGCCUACACCACAGCCACAGGUCCUUAACCCACUGAGCAGGGCCAGGUAUUGAGCUCACAUUCUAAUGGAUACUAAUUGGGCUCUUAACCCACUGAGCCAUAACGGGAACUCUGAAAACAGCUGUCUCGAGUGCCCUAACUGUUCAGACCUGGAGUAAGAGGCCUUCCCACCUGCGUCGAUGGAGAGCACCUGGAGGCACCGUGUCUCGGGGGGUUCGGGGCAGCUGACAUGUGCACCAGGCUGAGCAAAGCUGGCCGAGCUGACAGAACCCCAACCAAGGCUUCCUGUGUCUUCCACGGGGAUGAAGGGGCUGCUUGAGUCAUCCACACUCAACUGGGCCUCCGUGAGUGGACGGGCUGGCUGAGACCCCGAGCGGGAGCGGGGCAGGACUGCCACUUGCCUGCAGUGGGACUUGACGGACGCCCAGUGACAGGCCUGCUCUGCAGGCCUGAGGGGAGGCAGUGUGGACAAAAGGCUAAACUCAGGCUGAAGUGGAAGCUGGGUGGGUCCUCAUCAGGCAUCCUCCCCUAGCAGGGCUGGGGCCUGGAGCCCUCGUGGCGGGAUGGGCGGGACUGUGCCCACUCCUUCCCACCUCUGAGCCGGUCUGGCUGGCUUUCUUGGGGCGCUCUCCCCAUGCUCUACAUCCGUAACUCUCCCCAGCCUUCAAAGCCCAGCUCAGGGAGUCUCUGGUGGCGGUGGCUGUUUACAGAGGUUGCACCUGUUCGAUCCCUGGCCCAGGAAUUUCUGUGUGCCUUGGGUGCAGCCAAAGGAGGGAAAAAACCCCAGCACAGGCACCCUUUGCUCCAGGCAGCCUGUCAUAACCUCCCAGCCAGGAGGUUCCCUCCGCUGAGGUCGCCCAGCCUUGGACGGACAGCCCUGACUCUGGAGCUGACGCUCCACCUGCCUCCCCCACCCUGGGCUACUUGCCAUCCCCACCUGUACCUGGGCAGGACUGGUGCACCUUCUGCCAGCACCGGAAUUGACAUGAAAACCCUGAUCCUGCCCUGGAAACCGCAACCCCCCCCCGCCCCCGGUCGUCUCAGGAAACGGAAGCUCCAGCCUUCUGCUUUUUCUGGCAUCCGUCUCCUUUCUCACACCCCGAUUCCGAGCCCGCUGACUGACCGGCUCAGCUGGCCUCUGCUGCCCACGCUGAGCUCCGCCAGAGCGAGGCUUCUCGAGCAGAAGCCAGCUUGUCCCUCCCGCCCCCGAGGCUCCCCAAGUCACUCAGCCGACGCUCAGUUCACACGCUCCACCCCAGGCCUCUCCUCCCGGCCCGAAAGUGCGUCCUGAGCAGGUCCUCCCUCCUGCUGUCCCGUCAGGUCUGUUCACUGGCCGUCUCCCUCGCAGAAAGGACAGCAGAGAUGUGUGUUCUCACCA